rnacentral:rRNA from 1 species
AUACGGAGGGUGCGAGCGUUAAUCGGAAUUACUGGGCGUAAAGGGUGCGUAGGCGGCUUGAUAAGUCGGAUGUGAAAGCCCCGGGCUUAACCUGGGAAUUGCAUUCGAUACUGUCAGGCUAGAGUAUGUCAGAGGUUGGCGGAAUUCCUGGUGUAGCGGUGAAAUGCGUAGAUAUCCGGAGGAACACCAGUGGCGAAGGCGGCUAACUGGGGCAAUACUGACGCUGAGGCACGAAAGCGUGGGGAGCAAACAGGAUUAGAUACCCUAGUAGUCC